UUCUAUAGCCAUGCCACCUUAAACAAGUCCAAUCCCGUCUGAUCUCAGAAGCUAAGCAGGGUCGGGCCUGGUUAGGACUUGGAUAGGAGACCACCUAGGAAGACCAGAUGCUAUAGGCG
rnacentral:rRNA from 1 species